rnacentral:rRNA from 1 species
GAUGAACGCUGGCGGCGUGCCUAAUACAUGCGAGUCGAGCGAACAGACGAGGAGCUUGCUCCUCUGACGUUAGCGGCGGACGGGUGAGUAACACGUGGAUAACCUACCUAUAAGACUGGGAUAACUUCGGGAAACCGGAGCUAAUACCGGAUAAUAUAUUGAACCGCAUGGUUCAAUAGUGAAAGACGGUUUUGCUGUCACUUAUAGAUGGAUCCGCGCCGCAUUAGCUAGUUGGUAAGGUAACGGCUUACCAAGGCAACGAUGCGUAGCCGACCUGAGAGGGUGAUCGGCCACACGGGAACGGAGACACGGUCCAGACUCCUACGGGAGGCAGCAGUAGGGAAUCUUCCGCAAUGGGCGAAAGCCUGACGGAGCAACGCCGCGUGAGUGAUGAAGGUCUUCGGAUCGUAAAACUCUGUUAUUAGGGAAGAACAAAUGUGUAAGAAACUAUGCACGUCUUGACGGUACCUAAUCAGAAAGCCACGGCUAACUACGUG